CCUACGGGAGGCAGCAGUGAGGAAUAUUGGUCAAUGGGCGGGAGCCUGAACCAGCCAAGCCGCGUGAGGGAAGAAGGUACAGCGUAUCGUAAACCUCUUCUGUCAGGGAACAAAGGCGGGGACUAGUCCCCGGAUGAGGGUACCUGAAGAAAAAGCAUCGGCUAACUCCGUGCCAGCAGCCGCGGUAAUACGGAGGAUGCGAGCGUUAUCCGGAUUUACUGGGUUUAAAGGGUGCGCAGGCGGCCUGUUAAGUCAGCGGUAAAAGCCCGGGGCUCAACCCCUGCGAGCGGUUGAAACUGGCGGGCUGGAGUUGGAGAGAGGUACGCGGAAUGCGCGGUGUAGCGGUGAAAUGCUUAGAUAUCGCGCAGAACCCCGAUUGCGAAGGCAGCGUACCGGCUCCAAACUGACGCUGAGGCACGAAAGCGUGGGUAGCGAACAGGAUUAGAUACCCCAGUAGUC
rnacentral:rRNA from 1 species